rfam:Zygosaccharomyces rouxii strain CBS732 chromosome C complete sequence.
GAAGCGGUGGCUCAAUGGUAGAGCUUUCGACUCCAGUUAGAUCCUGGAAUAUUCCGGAAUUGGCAAUCGAAGGGUUGCAGGUUCAAUUCCUGUCCGUUUCA